GAUACCCGAUGGCUAUGACUUCGUCUACACAAUGAGUAUCUGUCAAGGAUUGAUUGGGUCCUUCAAAGAAUGCUCAUGCUGGUACUGCUUUCAAGCAGGUUUCUGAGGGUUCUCGUUCGAGAGCCCAGGAUGAUGCUGGAAGAAGAUUGAUUUUUGCUUCCCAGAGAAUACUUGACCAUGGUCGGGAAAGGGUAGAAGGCAUACUGCUUAGAAUCCUAUACCGAAGUGGUUAGACUGACAGACCGAUCAAGUUAGAAAGAAAUCUACACUUUAAAGACAUGUCUCGAGGCCUUCCUCGGGAUCGAAGCAGACCCAACAGCCAUUUUCCUGAU
rnacentral:lncRNA from 1 species